rnacentral:tRNA from 1 species
UUCUGACAGACGCGGUGGCCUAAUGGUUAGUACGUUGGACUCCAGAUCGAGUGGUCCGGGUUCGAGCCCUACCCGGGGAG